rnacentral:lncRNA from 10 species
GGCUUUUGCUCUGUCAGGCUGGUGGCGUUUUGGUGUCUUCGUUUGUUAUGGCCGCUGCUGUCGCUAUGGAGACAGAUGAUGCUGGAAAUCGACUUCGGUUUCAGUUGGAGUUGGAAUUUGUGCAAUGUUUAGCCAACCCAAAUUACCUUAAUUGUAAGUUGUUAAGCACCUCAUUAAAUUGAGUAGCUAUUAAUGAUUUCUGACAGAAGAGUUGCAGUUCAAAAUAGUAUCUACUUUUACACAUUCUCAGUUGAAUGACAUUACACUUAUGCUGGUAUAUAGAUAUAAUUGCGUACUGGGACUUGUGUUUUGAAUCCAAUGUGUGUUGGUGGUGGGGGUGUUAUGUAAAUAGAUCCUUUAUAUUAGGGGUAACAAAUCACAGUUUAAGGAUUGGUUUGACCUACAGAUUUUUUUUUUUAAUGCUUUUCAGUUCUUGCCCAAAGAGGUUACUUCAAAGACAAAGCUUUUGUUAAUUAUCUUAAAUACUUGCUUUACUGGAAAGACCCAGAAUAUGCCAAGUAUCUAAAGUAAGUUUAAUUUUUAUAAUCCUAAGCAUGUGUAUACUUUAUUAUAUAAUAGAUUUCUUAGUUUCACAUUGGCAAAAAUGUAUUUGGAAUCUC